rnacentral:lncRNA from 1 species
GUGGUGGAGGAGGUGACUUGUAUUUGUAUACUGGUGGUGGGGGUGAAGAGUAUUUGUAGGGCUUCUUUGGUGGUGGAGGAGAAGAUGACCACUUAUACGGUGGUGGUGGGGACUUGUACUUGUAAACUAGUGGAGGGGGUGAUGAGUAUUUGUAGGGCUUUUUUGGUGGUGGUGCAGAAGAUGGCCACUUAUACGGUGGUGGUGGAUACUUGUACUUAUAAAUUGGUAGAGAAGGUGGUGGGUAUUUGUAGGGCUUCUUUACUGGUGGUGGAGAAGAUGACCACACAUACGGUGGUGGUGGAGACUUGUACUUGUAACUUGGUGGAGGAGGUGAUGGGUAUUUGUACGGCUUCUUUGGUGUUGGUGGAGAAGAUGGCCACUUGUAAGGUGGUGGUGGUGAUUUGUACUUGUAAACUGGUGGAGGAGGUGAUGGGUAUUUGUAGGGCUUAUCUGGUGGUGGUAGAUGAGGUGGGUACUUAAAGGGUGGUGGUGGAGACUUGUACUUGUAAACUGGUGGUGGAGGAGAUGGGUACUUGUAUGGGUUCUUUGGUGGAGGAGGAGGAGACUUAUAAUAGUAAGCUGGUGUACGUGGUGGUGGAGACUUGUACUUGUACACUGGAGGUGGGGGAGAAGGGUACUUGUAUGGCUUCUUUGGUGGUG